CAAACGUCUUCGAAAACACCGGUUUCUCGUUCGAUCACCGAAGUUAAGCAUCGUAGAGCCAGGUCAGUACUUAGAUGGGGACCGCUUGGGAACACCUGGUACUGUAAG
rnacentral:rRNA from 1 species